AGGUUGUUUAAAGUUCUAUUGAUUGAGGAUACUUUGCACUACAUCCAACCAGUAUUAGGUUAUGGUGUGGUUGCUUGAUUGAUUUCUAGGAUGCAUGCGUCACGUAGGACCUGGACAAGGCCUUAGUGACAUAAUUACAAGUGAUAGACGAUAUGUAGUUUGGUUGUGAUGUGUUAAUUACAAGUGAUAGACAAUGUAAUGUUUAAAUUUUAUCAAUA
rnacentral:lncRNA from 1 species